rnacentral:rRNA from 1 species
GGUUAAGUUAGAAAGGGCGCACUGUGGAUGCCUUGACACUAGGAGUCGAUGAAGGACGGGACUAACGCCGAUAUGCUUCGGGGAGCUGUAAGUAAGCUUUGAUCCGAAGAUUUCCGAAUGGGGAAACCCACCAUACGUAAUGGUAUGGUAUCCUUAUCUGAAUACAUAGGGUAAGGAAGACAGACCCAGGGAACUGAAACAUCUAAGUA